GGCCAAAUAGAUCAGCGGUUAGAACGUCUGACUACAAAUUCCCAUCUUAGAAGUGUUCUGGGUUCAAAUCCUUGCCAGUCCA